GCAGCGUAUUGUCCGCGCGGGCGCAUUGUCCGGGCCCUGGGCCUUGAACUCUAACCCGACCGCGUAGGACCCUCGCCCCGCCGGGCCUGAGGUGCUGAUCGCUGCGACGGGCCGGGCAGUGGAAGGAGUUCCUGGGGGAGCGGGACCGGCCCCCUGCAGACUCGGGAAGCGCCCGGCCUGGGAAGUAGGGAAGUUGGGAAGCGAGAUGAGACCUCACGCUCUUGAUCAGGCGAGGUGAUGGGAACAGCCCAAGAAAUUCACCCUUGGUGGCCUAGGUCUGCAGUCCUGGCACGGUGGGAGGCCGAGGCAGGAGGAUUCUAAUUUCAAGCCCAGGCUGGGCGACUUAGUGACUCCGUGAGAUCCUGUCGGAAAAAUAAAAAAUGUUUUUCCAAAAGUUAGGGGUGUAGCUGGGAGAAAAGGCCCUGGCUUGUUUCACUGCCCCAGAACCUGCUCUUUAAAAACUUCCUUGAAAAGCAGGGCCCUUUCUGUCUCUUUCAGACAGAUGCUAUCUUUCAACUUCUUCUACUCUUACCCUGUUGUUCCUGGAAUUCAUUCUUGCAUUUUAGAGACUGAGGACUUGCUGUGUCAGACACCUAGCACCAAAGGGCUGGGGCGGAGGGUUCUGUGGGCCUGGCACGGUGUCGAGGGAGGCUGGGCAGGGCACGAGUCAGACUCCAGACCUGGAUCUGCCCCCUGCGACCCCAGGUCCUCUUUGUGCUGUCUGCUCCCCCAGACCACCGCAGAGGGCACACCUAGGGCUCCCCGCAGAGGAGGGUCUCACAUGCUGCUCCGGCUCAUGGGGUGGAAGCUGAGGCUGGGAUCCGAAGGUUGCUGUGACCCUACGUCAUUUCCUUUCCCGCAGUCUUCGACCAGUGGCUUCUUCCAGCCAGCCGGAAUCCGCCCUCUGCCCCCCAGCAGUGCCAAGGCCUGCAGCUUCCUGGGGACCCAGCCAGGACCUUGCUGUGAUCAUUGAUCUUUAUGAAGGACAGAAGAGACCCGCUGGGUGGCAGGGAGCCCAGACCCUCGCAGUGAGCCAAGUGGGUGAGAGACCAGCCGGGGAGGGGGCUGGGCCCGAUGGGGCAGUGCCUUCCCAUGAGUCACACGGGUCACCUGCCUGCCUCCUUCCCUCCCUUUCUUCCUCUCUCCUUUUUUGCAGUACUGGGGAUUGAAUCCAAGGCCUUCACACUGAGCUACAUCCCAUUCACUCAUUCAUUUUUAUUCUUUGACAGACAGCCUCACUAAAACUCUAAAUUGCCGGUGCUGGGCUCCAGCUUACAACCCUCCUGCCUCAGCCUCCCCGGGGCUGGGUUGACAGGCCUGGCUCUGAUGGCAGCUGGGAAACGGACUCAUCGGAGGGGCAGUGAGGAGGAAUCACAGCCAUGGACAGGAUGGAGACUGCGAGGCAGCAGCUGACUGACCUCUCAACCUGUCAGUGGGGAGAAGUUGGCCAUAUUGCUCAGCCUCUAAGGAAACAUUCCAAGCCUCUCAGGGUCAGUCCCCUGGAAUUUCAUGAACGGCCCGCCUCUGCCAACUCUAACUCAGCUCUCCACGACUGCAAAAUAGCACAGAAAAUCGGCUUAUAAGGAGGAAAGCCUGGAUAUGACUGUUUCAGAGGUCCCAGGCCUCGGCCAGCAGCUGCAGCAGCAGCACCACCGGCACUACAGGUGGUAACCAGGUGGUAAUGCACAGCCCAGAGACAAGAAGGGGAAGGGGCGGGGCCAGGGCUACGCCCCCUUGACACGAGCCCCCCCGGGCCCCGCCCCUUAAAGUGCUAGCACCUCCCAACAGCGCUGUUGGCCUGGUGCAUCAGAAACCUCUCCACUGGCUCACGGUUUAGGGGUGCACAUAACUCUGGGGUCGUGGACAAAGCCACUUGCACGGUGUCCGGGGCCUCCAGACGCUGCUCUGGUCAUCCCUGCAGUGACUGCAGCCAUCACAGCGAGGCAGAAGCAGGUUUACCGCUUCACCAUUGCCGGCAAAGACCCGGGGGAACAAGUUUCCUCGCGAGGGGUCGUGGGUUGCAUGCCACAGGUCCGUCCGUCAGCCUCAGGGCAUCUCCACCUGCCUCUCAGAGGCCACCAGCCAGGGCCUGCAGCCUUCACUGCCGCCCCAGGUGCCCGGAUGCUGGCUUCUCAGCAGCACACAGCCCAGCGGCCUGUCUGGCCUGUUGUCCCCGCCUUGUACACGGACGCAGGUCAAGGCCCGAGAAAGGGAUGCUUCACUAGUAUCGAGGAGGUCAGACGGUGGAUCCACAGCAUCCAGGCUGGAGACUACGCACAGCAGUGUGGCUUGCACAGUGGAUUCAGGGCUGUGAGGACUGCGCCGUCCGAAGCGCAGGGCGGAAGGCCAGGGCCAGGCGCUGGCAUAGAGGUCAGCAGGCACAGCCCAGGCGAGCAGGCGGAGAGCGGUCGACCCUCGGGCCUGCCCCUCAGCCGCGCCUGCGCCUGCGCCUGCUGCUGCGGAGGCUGCCAGCGCUCAGACCAGGCAGGGUUGACACCGCACUGUCUCGGGUCACGGCUGGGGACACCGGACGGAGCCCACGGAGCUGAGUAACUCCAGAGUUCGACUUCCACAGCGACCACUUCUGCACUCAGGGGCCUUUUCCCAUCCACAUCUGGGAGAUGCUGAGCCGGCCCAUGGACCUCCAGAACUGCCUGGCCACCUUCCCUGCUGUGCAUGGAAAAGCACUUCUUUUCUUUUUUGGGUUUUUUGAGGUAGGGUCUCGCUGUGUGGUUCAGGCUGAACCUCAACU